rnacentral:rRNA from 1 species
UACGGAGGGGGUUAGCGUUGUUCGGAAUGACUGGGCGUAAAGCGCGCGUAGGCGGAUCAGGAAGUUGGGGGUGAAAUCCCGGGGCUCAACCCCGGAAUGGCCUUCAAAACUCCUGGUCUUGAGUUCGAGAGAGGUGAGUGGAAUUCCGAGUGUAGAGGUGAAAUUCGUAGAUAUUCGGAGGAACACCAGUGGCGAAGGCGGCUCACUGGCUCGACACUGACGCUGAGGUGCGAAAGCGUGGGGAGCAAACAGGA